GAUGGCGACCGGCGCACGGGUGCGUAACGCGUAUGCAACUUGCCUCACAGAGGGGGAUAACCCGUCGAAAGACGGACUAAUACCGCGUACACUUGGGAUAGGGCAUCCUAAUCCAAGGAAAUGAAAUUCGCUGUGAGAUAGGCAUGCGUCCCAUUAGCUAGUUGGUGAGGUAACGGCUCACCAAGGCGACGAUGGGUAGGGGAACUGAGAGGUUGAACCCCCACACUGGUACUGAGACACGGACCAGACUCCUACGGGAGGCAGCAGUGAGGAAUAUUGGUCAAUGGGCGAGAGCCUGAACCAGCCAAGUCGCGUGAAGGAUGACUGUCUUAUGGAUUGUAAACUUCUUUUGUAGGGGAAUAAAGAAUGGUACGUGUACCAUAGUGAAUGUACCCUACGAAUAAGCAUCGGCUAACUCCGUGCCAGCAGCCGCGGUAAUACGGAGGAUGCGAGCGUUAUCCGGAUUUAUUGGGUUUAAAGGGUGCGUAGGCGGCCUGUUAAGUCAGCGGUGAAAUCUAGGGGCUUAACUCCUAAAUUGCCAUUGAUACUGGUGGGCUUGAGUGUAGAUGAAGUAGGCGGAAUGCGUGGUGUAGCGGUGGAGUGCAUAGAUAUCACGCAGAACUCCAAUUGCGAAGGCAGCUUACUAAGGUACAACUGACGCUGAAGCACGAAAGCGUGGGUAUCAAACAGGAUUAGAUACCCUGGUAGUCCACGCAGUAAACGAUGAUAACUGGGCGUAUGCGAUAUACAGUAUGCUCCUAAGCGAAAGCGUUAAGUUUUCCCCUGGGGAAUACGCCCGCCACGGUGAAACUCAAGGAAUUGA
rnacentral:rRNA from 1 species